CUUCACAGGGUUUAUUGCUUUUAUAAAACGGUUAUUCCAAAUACGUAGUAAGGUUUCACAAAAUAAAACAGAGCAAAUAAAGUGUAAUGAUAUUAAUAUAAAAAGUAUUCUUCCACCAAACAAUGUAGUUCCUCAGAAACAGUUGUGGGUGCAACAAAGUGGUUGCUGAGCAACACACAAACAUAAACAAAGGUGUAUGUUACUUUGUAGAGUCAUUUACAACAGCUUUGAACGCGGCUCAUCCAAUCAGAAUCAAGGACAGAACUAUCUGUUUUAUAAUAAUCACCUGUCGUUUGACAGACUCGGGGAGUUUCUUCUCCAGCAGGCUCUUCACCAGCGCUUUCCCGUCUCUGGCCUCCUCCUCCUCUCCGGCCUCCACCGCCUUCUCCUCGGCUCCCGUCAGCCCCUCUUUGGCGCCGUCGUCCCUGCGCUCCCCGAACACGCCGGGCUCGAUGAGCAGCAGGAUCUUGUGCACGUCGCGGCUGGUCAGGACUCCCAUGGUGAGGAGCGCGCUGAUGAGCCGCAGGAUCGGCACGAACUGGAACUCCACGCUUCCGCCCACGGGGUCACGGAUGUGGUCUCCUCCGCCCUGCACGGCCUCCGUCAGCAUGCCGAUGGCCCUCUCCUUCAGCACGUCCAGCGGGAUCUCCGGGCUGAAGAGGUGCUGCUCGCGCUUGCUGCUGAUGAAGCAGGGCGGGCCGAAGCUGAGUCUGGGUUUGAGGCACGUGCUGAGCCCGACGCCUGGAGGCCGGUGCUGCUUGGAGGCGUCGGGGAAGAGGCGGAUGCUGCGCGUCUCGGCCGUGAUGGGGAUGAUGAACUCGCUGCUCAUCAUGCGGCGGGCGGCUCUGGCCGUCUCCAGGUGCACGCUGAUGAGGACGUCGUAAAAGCCCUCGCGCAGCAGCCCCGACAGGUGUGUACCGGUUCUCCUCAGGGAUGUGUACAGCCAGCAUCUGCAGCGCUUCCACACACUGCACCAUCCAUCCGUGUCUCUCGCUGACACGGGCCGUCUCCACCUUCAGAAAGGUGUUGGGCAUUCGGCUCCACAGCACCGAGUUAAUGGUCUGGACGUCCAGUCGCGGAGGACACUGAGGAACGGGAUUCUUGUGUUCGCUCUUAAAGAUGGCUGACGAGAUGGGCAUGGCGUUCUGCACGAGAGGAGUCAUAAAAACUCGGAUCAGAGAGCGUCACACAGUGCAGAGCAGCUCAUGAACACUAAUACGACCGUAUGAAGCUAUGAGGAUAUGCUCACCUUGAUUUUGGCCAGUUCAAACUGGAAGAGACUUGAGCUUGUGGGCCGCACAAACACAGCAGGAAAGAGUUUUGUGCUGGGCUCCACCUGGACAACAAUAGACAUUGAUUUAAUUAAGUUAUCCUUACAGUGCCAGAUACUACUAUAUUUAUCGUUAUACAGCAGUUAUCAUUAUAGCAAUCGUAACCGAUAUCGUUACAGAUACAGAUAUUGUUACAGGUCUAGAUACUGUUAUAGUUUUCGUUAUAUUAUAUAAUCAGUUCUGGGUUAUGUAAUCUGGAAUACAUAAUCAGAUUUUAAAAAAAUUAAGUACUUGUAAUUAGCUUAUAUUACAUUUUAAAAUACGUGUAAUCAGACUAGAGUUACUUUUUUAUCAAUAACAUGAUUACA
ensembl:lncRNA